UACAGAGGGUGCGAGCGUUAUUCGGAUUUACUGGGCGUAAAGGGCGCGUAGGCGGUGAGAUGUGUGUGAUGUGAAAGCCCCGGGCUUAACCUGGGAAGUGCAUUGCAAACUGUCUGACUGGAGUAUAUGAGAGGGUGGCGGAAUUUCCGGUGUAGCGGUGAAAUGCGUAGAUAUCGGAAGGAACGUCAAUGGCGAAGGCAGCCACCUGGCAUAAUACUGACGCUGAGGCGCGAAAGCGUGGGGAUCGAACAGG
rnacentral:rRNA from 1 species